rnacentral:rRNA from 1 species
GCCUACGGGGGGCAGCAGUAGGGAAUCUUCCACAAUGGGCGAAAGCCUGAUGGAGCAACGCCGCGUGGGUGAAGAAGGUCUUCGGAUCGUAAAACCCUGUUGUUAGAGAAGAAAGUGCGUGAGAGUAACUGUUCACGUUUCGACGGUAUCUAACCAGAAAGCCACGGCUAACUACGUGCCAGCAGCCGCGGUAAUACGUAGGUGGCAAGCGUUAUCCGGAUUUAUUGGGCGUAAAGGGAACGCAGGCGGUCUUUUAAGUCUGAUGUGAACGCCUUCGGCUUAACCGGAGUAGUGCAUUGGAAACU